UAACAAGGAUUCCCUCAGUAACGGCGAGUGAAGCGGGAAGAGCUCAAAUUUAAAAUCUGGUUUGCUCGCAAGCCCGAGUUGUAGUCUGAAGAAACGUUUUCCAUAAGCACUGAGGCAAAAGUCCCUUGGAACAGGGCAUCAUAGAGGGUGAGAAUCCCGUCCAUGGUCUCAAGUCGUUUAUUUUGUGAUACGUUUUCAAAGAGUCAGGUUGUUUGGGAAUGCAGCCUAAAAUGGGUGGUAAAUUUCAUCUAAAGCUAAAUAUUGGCGAGAGACCGAUAGCGAACAAGUACCGUGAGGGAAAGAUGAAAAGAACUUUGAAAAGAGAGUUAAAAAGUACGUGAAAUUGUUGAAAGGGAACCGUUUGAAGCCAGUCUUACUUGCCUGUGAUCAAUUUUUGCCUCGGCAUGAAUGCACUCUCGGGUAUGGUAGGCCAACGACAGUUUGGAAUGCGAGAAAAAAAUAGGGGAAAUGUGGCCUUCGGGUGUUAUAGUCCCUUAUAAAAUAUCGUGUUCUGGACUGAGGAUCGCAGCAAAAAUGUGGGCAGGUGGAUUUCUGUGGUAACUGUCGGUUAGGACAACUUGUUGACCUAGUCUUCCUUAGCCUCACUAUUUACCUCGCUUCUAAUUUGCUUAGGUCGUUGGCAUAAUGGCUUUAAGUGA
rnacentral:rRNA from 1 species